GAGGAGGUAGUGACAAGAAAUACCGAUGCGGGACCCUACGGGUGCCGCGUUCGGAAUGAGUACGAUUCGAACCACCUAACGAGGAACGAUCGGAGGGCAAGUCUGGUGCCAGCAGCCGCGGUAAUUCCAGCUCCAAUAGCGUACGUUAAAGUUGCUGCAGUUAAAAAGCUCGUAGUUGAACGUUCGGGUUCCGCGGGACGGGGCCGCCCCGCGAGGGACGGCGCCGCCCCGGGGCUCGUGAUAUCUCAUCUCGCCGCCCGUCGCGAGGCGGACGGAGGGAUGGAUGAGGUUACCUGGAAAAAAUCGGGGCGAUCUAGGCGGGCGAACCUCGCCAACGAACGAUUCGGACAUGGGAUAACGGAAGAGGGCGUCGGCUCGACUUCGUCGGUUCCUCGGGCCGAGGCACGUACGGUGAAUAGGGACGGUCGGGGGCCGCCCGGUACCGGGUCGUGAGAGGUGAAAUUCUAGGAUCGACCGAGACGAACCGCCGCGAAGCAUUCGGCAAGGACGCUUC
rnacentral:rRNA from 1 species